rnacentral:tRNA from 1 species
GAGGGUAUAGCUCAAAUGGUAGAGUGCAUACUUACCACGCAUGCUGUCCUGGGUUCAAUCCCCAGUACCUCCA